rnacentral:rRNA from 1 species
UACAGAGGGUGCGAGCGUUAAUCGGAAUUACUGGGCGUAAAGCGCACGUAGUCGGCUUUGCAAGUCGGUUGUGAAAUCCCCGGGCUCAACCUGGGAACUGCAUCCGAGACUGCAUUGCUAGAGUAUGGGAGAGGAAAGCGGAAUUUCUGGUGUAGCAGUGAAAUGCGUAGAUAUCAGAGGGAACAUCAGUGGCGAAGGCGGCUUUCUGGACCAAUACUGACGAUCAGGUGCGAAAGCGUGGGGAGCAAACAGG